AGGAGCUUCAGAAACUGUCUGCGGAACAAGCUGCAAUACAGAAGGAUGUAAGCAAAAUGAAGUGGUUAAUGCAGGCGAUUUUUGACAAGUCAGGAUGUUGCCGAGCAGAUUUACCUCCAGGGGAUGAUUCCGAUUAGAUGUUACGGGGUUCCUCCUUUGUCAUUUUGGCGCUUUCUGACAAAAAGGGGGAGAUGAUAUGAUGAUGGCUCAUGAUGAUGAUGAUGUUUAUUUUUGUGUAAAUUUGAUGAUGGUUGUUUAGGUGCUUAACUAUGAACUAUAAGCUAUGACUAUGACUUGUUGCUUUGAUUGCUUUGACUUUAUGUUUGAUCUUUUAUGAUAAAUAUGCUUGAAUCUUGAUUGUGUUUUAAGAAUGUUUUUGUAGGAAUAUUCAAGACUUCAAGACUCCAUGUCUAAGUCAUAGAGUCUGUAAUAAGGUUGUGAAAAUUGUAAUUUUCGUUUAUUGGAUCGAUCAUGCUGGAGAUUGUCGUUUGGUGAUUGCGAUGAUCUUCUUUUUAUUGUUUCUGAGUUGUCUAUGAGCUUUGUAGUAUAUUUUGUCACGAAAUCGGCAAAGAGGGAGAUUGUUAAGGAUUUUAUAGGUUGGCGAAUUUCGUAAAGUUGAAUGGAGUCUUGAAGAGUUGGUCGCGGAAGUUUGAAGAAAAGAUCCAAAUUGAAGAACAAAGACUCAUUCGGAAAGCUCGGCAUCUCAGAUAUGAAGAAUAGAUGAUUUAUGGUGAAGAUGUUUAAUUGUAAUAAGUUCAGAAGGCUUAGAUUGCUUUAAAAAUUCUUUUACUGAACUUUUGUGUGUUCUGGGACCGGUCCUUGUGUUGAAGAGACCGGUUCCCCUAAGGUCCUCACUGCGUGAACACUGAUGCAACCGGUCCCCUGAGAUGAGAGA
rnacentral:lncRNA from 1 species